ACCANCCGCGGUAAUUCCAGCUCCAAUAGCGUAUAUUAAAGUUGCUGCAGUUAAAAAGCUCGUAGUUGAAUUUCGGGACCAUCAUGUCGGUCGUGCCUCGGUACGUACUGGCAUUGUUGGUUUCUCCCUUCUGACGAACCAUGAUGUCAUUAAUUUGGUGUCUUGGGGAAUCAGGACUGUUACUUUGAAAAAAUUAGAGUGUUUAAAGCAGGCUCACGCUUGAAUACAUUAGCAUGGAAUAAUGAAAUAGGACGUUUGAUUCUAUUUUGUUGGUUUCUAGGAUCGACGUAAUGAUUAAUAGGGAUAGUUGGGGGCAUUAGUAUUCAAUUGUCAGAGGUGAAAUUCUUGGAUUUAUUGAAGACUAACUACUGCGAAAGCAUUUGCCAAGGAUGUUUUCAUUAAUCAAGAACGAAAGUUAGGGGAUCGAAGACGAUCAGAUACCGUCGUAGUCUUAACCAUAAACUAUGCCGACUAGGGAUCGGAUGAUGUUAAUUUUUUAAUGACUCA
rnacentral:rRNA from 1 species